CAAGCAAGCUGGACAGCCGCGCGGCGGGGGCGAAAGGCCCCGCUGUGAGGAAAGUCCGGGCUCCACAGGGCAAGGAUAACGGGUAACACCCGCCGGGGGCGACCCUAGGAAAAGUGCAACAGAGAUAUACCGCCUCACAUCUGUGGGGUAAGGGUGGAAAGGCGAGGUAAGAGCUCACCCGACGGCGUGGAAGCGUCCGUCGCUGUAAACUCUAUCCGGAGCAACGCCGUGGAGGGACAUGUGGUCGGCCCGACCGUCCCGCGGAGGCGGCUGGAGCGUGCCGGCAACGGUACGUCGAGAUAGAUGGCUGUCUUAAAGGACAGAACCCGGCUUACAGGCUUACUUGCACC
rnacentral:RNase_P_RNA from 1 species